AUUGAACGCUGGCGGCAGGCCUAACACAUGCAAGUCGAGCGAGCGGCGGACGGGUGAGGAAUGUCUGGGAAACUGCCUGAAGGAGGGGGAUAACUAUUGGAAACGGUAGCUAAUAUCGCAUACCAUCAGAUGUGCCCAGAUGGGAUUAGCUAGUGGGUGGGGUAAUGGCUCACCCAGGCGACGAUCCCUAGCUGGUCUGAGAGGAUGACCAGCCACACUGGGACUGAGACACGGUCCAGACUCCUACGGGAGGCAGCAGUGGGGAAUAUUGCACAAUGGGCGAAAGCCUGAUGCAGCCAUGCCGCGUGUAUGAUGAAGGCCUUCGGGUUGUAAAGCACUUUCAGCGGGGAGGCGUUACCCGCAGAAGAAGCACCGGCUAACUCCGUGCCAGCAGCCGCGGUAAUAC
rnacentral:rRNA from 1 species